GCCAGGCAUGGUGGCUUGCGCCUGUGAUCCCAGCUACUCAGGAGGCAGAGGCAGGAGGAUUGCUUGAACCCAGGAGGUCGAGACUGCAGUGAGCCAUGAUUGUGCCACUGCACUCCAGCCUGGGUGACAGAGCAAGACCCUGCCCCCC
rnacentral:sRNA from 1 species